ACAGCUCUGCUUCAAAGUCCUGCAGCACGCUCAUGAAUGUACCCAAUGCUCCUCUUCCCUCCUUUAACAACAUGUGGUACAUGGGGACCCAACAGAUUGGAUUUGGAGCUCUGUGGUGCUGAGCUGAAAGAGAUUCCACUGGAUUUCAGAUAAAAGUCUUCACUGCUGGCUUUCCCACAGUUCUAUGCUCAUCGUGUUUUGCUUCCCUUAUGAUGUCUGACAAACAAGUCUCAUGAAACAAGAGAGAAAAAUGAAAUGUCUGUAUCUCUCAAGCUUUGCAUUUUGAUAUUGUCUUUCACUUUCAAGAAACUCACGAUGUGCUGAAAAAUUGAUGCAUUUGCGUUACUUUUUUAUUUGUUUCCUCAGAACUAUGCUGUUCCUACUUCAAAAUUCUAAGGAAUUAUGAAAAAAUAAAAAUCUGAAUAAUAUCACUGCUG
rnacentral:lncRNA from 7 species